CCCUUAGAUGUUCUGGGCCGCACGCGCGCUACACUGAUGCAUUCAACGAGUUUCUUCCUGGUCCGAGAGGAAUGGGUAACCUUUUGAAAGUGCAUCGUGAUAGGGAUAGACUAUUGCAAUUAUUGGUCUUCAACGAGGAAUUCCUAGUAGACGUAGUUCAUCAGACAGCAUCGAUUACGUCCCUGCCCUUUGUACACACCGCCCGUCGCUCCUACCGAUUGAAUGCUCAGGUGAGCCAUUCGGACUUUCAUCAUGCUGGUUUCCAGUUUUGAUGAAGGAAAGUCUUGCGAACCUUAUCAUUUAGAGGAAGGAGAAGUCGUAACA
rnacentral:rRNA from 1 species